UACGGAGGGGGCUAGCGUUGUUCGGAAUUACUGGGCGUAAAGCGCACGUAGGCGGCUUUGUAAGUUAGAGGUGAAAGCCCAGGGCUUAACCCUGGAAUUGCCUUUAAGACUGCAUCGCUAGAAUCGUGGAGAGGUGAGUGGAAUUCCGGAGUGUAGAGGUGAAAUUCGUAGAUAUUCGGAAGAACACCAGUGGCGAAGGCGACUCACUGGACACGUAUUGACGCUGAGGUGGCGAAAGCGUGGGGAGCAAACAGG
rnacentral:rRNA from 1 species